GAAAAGCUUCUGAGGACAGAGAGCAGGAAACUCCGGGUUAAUGAAGAGAAAGGAAGUCAGUCCCAGCUGGAAGAAAUGAAGAAGAGAUAUUCUGAAAAGGUCAAGGAAGUUGAUAGAUUCCAAAAAGAGGUUGCUGAACUUUCCCAGCAGUUGGACAGGGAACGUGAACAGUGCACGCAGCUGGAGGCCAAAAAUCAGGCUUUGCAAGAAGAGCUGUCUGCCCUGCGUGGGGAGUGCGAGAACCUGGCCAUGGACAAAUGCCAGCUGCAAGAAGAGCUGGCAAAACUCCACCAUCAUUUGGAGACCAACGUGGUGGAUCGCAGCCAACUCGAACAGUGCAAAAGAGAGGUGGAAGAACAAGCAGACCAGGAAAUAAGACAAAAACUCCAAGAAGUCAAUGAGUUUUUGCAAGCACAGGCAGCCCACCAGGACACCUUAGAAGAAAUCAGAAGCAGUCAUGUGGACUCACUGAAAAAACAGUUAGAAGACAGAAUUAGAGAUCUGGAACGUGCACUGGGAAGGACAAAAAGCAACCAAGCAGAAAGACCUUUUCAAAAGGAAUCCACCCAGGCAGAAGUGGACAAGUACAAAGAGCUGUAUCUGGUGGAAGCCCAAAGAAGAAAAAGCCUCACCAAGAAACUGGAAAGAGCUACUGAGAGACUUGCAGUGGCGAACACCAAGCUCUUUUUGGAGCGCCACAGAAGCAGAUCUGUGGUCACAAGCAGCGCUGUCAGCGGAGUUCUGGCUGCAAGUCCACUUCUGGAUUCACCUGGCCUGGGACAUGUUGGCCUCAGUUUGGGACUGAGCAGAAGUCUGGCUCUCAGAACACCACCCAGACACCUGUGGUAAAGCCCAAGACUUCUGCUCAUCAGGACAUCCUGUAAGGGACCGUUCAGAUGGAUGGAACAAAUUGCUUCCUUUCCUUAAUUUCGACACCCACGGCCUAGUAGCCAGUUUCCUUAAUGGUGGCCUUCAAGGUUUGGUAGCAAAGACUCCAAGAUCAGCUCUAACCCAUCCCUACAUUGCUCAGCGACAAUGAUCCUAGUGGUGAGGGCAGCGAAAAUGCUACUUAAAAUUGGAGAGGUGGUGCUGCAUUGGUCCCCUUGUUGUACGAAAGGAAUCGCUGGAGCUUUGGGGACAAGAAGUGCCAACGGCCACGACAACUGUACACAGGCAACAGUAUCGGAGGAACCGAGAUGCUGUGACCCCCAUCCAUCCAUCCAGUACAUCCAUGACAUCAUUGUGGGGGGGACACAGCAGAAGAAGUUUUCGAGAAAGGACAGAAGAUCAUCCAGAUUCUCCUCGAGGCUGGUUUUGCCAUCAAGAAGAGUAAGGUCAAGGGCCCUGCCCAAGAGAUCCAGUUCCUAGGGCUGAAAUGGCAAAUGGACGACACCAGAUACCAACAGACGUCCUCCACAAGAUUGUAGCAAUGGCUCCACCCACAAACAAGAAAGAAACCCAAGCUUUUCUGGGAGCCAUUGGCUUCUGGAGGAUGCACAUCCCAGAGUACAGCCAGAUGGUGAGCCCUCUUUACUUUGUGACCCGUAAAAAGAACAAUUUCCAGUGGGGUCCUGAACAACAACAAGCUUUCAGGCAGAUCAAGCAAGAGAUUGCACAUGCCGUGGCUCUUGGAGCUGUCAGGACAGGACCAGAGGUAAAGAAUGUGCUCUACUCUGCAGCUGGAGAUAAAGGUCCCUCCUGGAGCCUCUGGCCAAAGGUGCCUGGUGAGACGUGAGGGCGACCACUGGGUUUCUGGAGCCGAAGCUACAGAGGUUCUGAGGCCAAUUCCACCCCUGUGGAGAAGGAAAUCUUAGCAGCCUAUGAAGGCAUACGAGCAGCUGCAGAGCUUUCAGAUUCAGCAAUGUCCUCACUCCUGACAGACCAGGGUCCCCUUUCCAGAGUAAUGGAGGAGCACCGUGAUUUUUUAAUCCAAAAUUCCCGGAUUGGAAUGAAAUGCUCUGGAAAGGCUCUGGAAAUCAUUCGGGGUUCACAAUCAUCAAGGAAGAUGUUCACCAGGAAUUGCUGAUCACUGGCCUCCAGCUGGAUGUUGCACUCCUGAUCACCACCCCAGCCAGCAGAUUUCAACCAGCCUGCUGUCUGCUCAUCCAGCCCAUACUUCAUGGGCUUCUCUGUGAGGGAGCCCUGUCUGUGUGCACUAGUACACACAUUCAUUUGGAUUUUAAAAAAUCAAACAGAAGUGAUUGUUUUAACAGCACAAUUAUUUUUCAAAGGGAAAUAGAAGGGUAUGGCUUUGAUGGAACGAGUGCCUUCAAGCUCCAUUGGCAGGCACUGUUUGAAAACUAUUUGGGUGAUUUUUGAUAAGAAAUGAAAGAUACAACGACAGGAAGCCAUUCAGCAAUCCCUGACAAGGGAGGUCCACUGUCAAUUGCUGGGAGGGCCCCCACCUGUUUCUUUUAAUGGUGCUCCCAAAUCCCACCCCUUGGGCCUCCCAUCCCAUCCUUUUUGGUCCCCUCAGGCAUCUCCUCCCCAGCAUCUGCUCUGUGUCCUACCCAGGGUCCCCAAAUAUCCUCCCAUUAAUCAUUCCCAAAGCUUUUCUUUCCAUCCUUCCCCUCAGACCUUUGCCUUUCACCCAGGCCACUGCCCUGGUACCUCCCAAGACCAUUCCUUGCCUCCCUCUCCACUCCCAACCAUCUCCCAUUGCCCUUGUUUUUGUCCUCCUCCAUCAUCCUCCUCCUGUCCCCACCAAGCCUCUCCCUUGCAGUCCCCAUGUCCCUACACCUGAAUUCCUUUCCCCUCCCCUGCAUCCCACACAGGGCCCCUUCAACACCCCAAUCCCAGUCCCGUGGGCUCCCCAGUUCCCCCCAGUUCAGCAUCUUUGGGUC